rnacentral:misc_RNA from 1 species
AAAUGCGAUAAGUAAUGUGAAUUGCAGAAUUCAGUGAAUCAUCGAAUCUUUGAACGCACAUUGCGCCCGCCAGUAUUCUGGCGGGCAUGCCUGUUCGAGCGUCAUUACAACCCUCAGGCCCCCGGGCCUGGCGUUGGGGAUCGGCGGAAGCCCCCUGCGGGCACAACGCCGUCCCCCAAAUACAGUGGCGGUCCCGCCGCAGCUUCCAUUGCGUAGUAGCUAACACCUCGCAACUGGAGAGCGGCGCGGCCACGCCGUAAAACACCCAACUUCUGAAUGUUGACCUCGAAUCAGGUGGGAAUACCCGCUGAACUUAAGC